GGACAUCGGCGUCGCGCACUGCACCAAGACCUCGGCGCAGCCAUGGAGAGCGGAGGGCGGCCUUCGCUGUGCCAGUUCAUCCUCUUGGGCACCAGUUCUGUCGUCACUGCUAUCCUGUACUCCGUAUACAGACAGAAGGCCCAGGUCUCCCAUGAGCUGAAGGGAGCUAAAAAAAUCCACUUGGGUGAAGAUCUAAAGAGUAUUCUUUUGGAAGCUCCAGGAAAAUGUGUGCCUUAUGCUGUUAUUGAAGGGGCUGUGCGAUCUGUUAAAGAAACACUUAACAGCCAGUUUGUGGAAAAUUGCAAGGGGGUGAUUCAGCGUCUGACACUUCAGGAGCACAAGAUGGUGUGGAAUCGAACCACUCAUCUUUGGAAUGACUAUUCAAAGAUCAUCCACCAGAGAACCAACACGGUGCCAUUUGACCUGGUGCCCCACGAGGAUGGUGUGGAUGUGGCCGUCCGAGUGCUGAAGCCCCUGGACUCGGUGGAUCUGGGCCUGGAGACUGUGUAUGAGAAGUUCCACCCCUCGAUCCAGUCCUUCACUGAUGUCAUCGGCCACUACAUCAGCGGUGAGCGGCCCAAAGGCAUCCAGGAGACAGAGGAGAUGCUGAAGGUCGGGGCCACCCUCACAGGGGUGGGUGAACUGGUCCUGGACAACAACUCUGUCCGCCUCCAGCCCCCCAAGCAGGGCAUGCAGUACUACCUGAGCAGCCAGGACUUCGACAGCCUGCUGCAGAGGCAGGAGUCGAGCGUCCGACUCUGGAAGGUCCUGACGCUGGUAUUUGGCUUUGCUGCCUGUGCCACCCUCUUCUUCAUCCUCCGAAAGCAGUACCUGCAGCGGCAGGAGAGACUGCGCCUCAAGCAGAUGCAGGAGGAAUUCCGGGAGCACGAGGCCCAGCUGCUAAGCCGAGUCACACCUGAGAACAGGGAGAGUCUGAAGAGUGCCUGUGUCGUGUGUCUGAGCAACUUCAAGUCCUGCGUCUUCUUGGAGUGUGGGCAUGUCUGUUCCUGCACGGAGUGCUACCGCGCCUUGCCAGAGCCCAAGAGAUGCCCCAUCUGCAGACAGGAGGUCACCCGCGUGGUUCCUUUGUACAAUAGCUAACUGUCCUGAAGCCACACAGUCAGACCUGGAAGUAAUCCUCCCUUCCAGGGAUUCUUAUCUUGACGCCUUUAAGAGAGCAGUGGUGGGGGUGACUGUCAAUCUCCAGGUGUGACUGAGGGGUGAGAGGAGAGCAGAGAAGGAACCUACCUGAUCCCACACAUCUGGCCCAGGAUGUGGCCUUCCCAGCUUGAGGGGAACCUUUCCUCAUGGAGCAUGAGAGUUGAAGACCCACCCUGAGUGAUGUGGCAGCAUGGCCGCCCUUCCCAGGAACCAGAUAAGUGUGCCUGUGGUUUGAGACACCUCAUCUCUUAAGUGUUGAAGCCAGUGAUCUUCAGACCCUUGCUCCUGUGUCUGGUCCUUUCUGGUGAACUGUCGAUUCCUGCAGACUUGUAGUAGGACUUGGCCUGGGCCCAGGCUUGAAUGAUUCGGCCAGAGGGGAGGAAAAGUUGGGAUCUGAGGCCAUUGUGUGCCUUGAGAGCUGCUUCUGAAGAUGCUCUUAGUUUCUCUUUCUUAUAAACGCGGGAAAAAGUCUUCACAGUUGUCAGUCGAGACGUGUGAGUUACAUCCCUUUCACCUCCCCUGUCUGCCCCUAAAUGUGUGCACGUCCGUGUAGAGGACAAAAGAGAGUGAAGUUCAGCACAUCUGCCUUCUACUUAAACGCAUGUCACACCGGUCAGCAGGGUGAGGAGCCGUCACUUGAGGCCAGUCAACGAACAGCUCCCAGCUUGGCUGCAGCCCCUCUGCUGUCUCUACUGACCUAAGGGACUGACCUCACGGCAGGGCCACCAGAGUGCACACCUUUGGCCCUGAUUUGGAACUCCUCCAGCUUGCGGGUGCCAAGGGCUGGCUGCUGGUCAUCCCUGCCUGCCUGACGAUGGGCUGGAAAGGCCUCACCACCCAGAGGAAGCAGUCCGGAUGCGGCUGCCCUCACCUGCUUCCGCAACUUCUUUCCAGGGUUGUCACCAAGGAAGCCUCACCUGUGGCAACUCCCACCGUUCGUUUGAGGAGCCUCAUCUCCAGGAAGGAUGAAUGGGGCCUAAGCUGUGGGACUGUGGUAGGUGCUCGACGUGUAAAUUGCUUAGUAACUCUCAGCAGCCAGGAAGGAGGCAGGUGAGUGGGAGAUGAGGGGGGUGGUCCCAGCCUUUCCUGCUCUCAGCACUUCAGGGAAUCCCCUACACGGACUUAGACUCACAGCUGGGCAGAGUGGUUUCUUCUGGCUCCAUCACUAGCCUGUGACCUUGGGCAAGUCACUUAUCCUCUUUCUGCUACAUCAGUUAAAAAGGGACGCAACGUCUCAUCUUUCUGCCUCAAAAAGUAUUUAUUUUGAGAAGCAAGGUCGGUAACAGAUGUGAAAAUCCUUUGGGGUGGGGGGAAAGAAAGCAUGAUUCAAAGUAAGAGCUUCUUGCUGCUGUAACUUUAUCAUUCUGCUUGUUAUGCUUUUGUUUUCUCUCCCAGCACUUGGCCCAGCCCUAACCUCAAAGCAGACACUUAGUAGAACCUUAAUGAAUGGAGACAGGCGGCUUGCGCAGUGGAGCAAAGGGAGUCUGGAGACCUGCUGCUUCUGCCAUUGACAAGCUGUGGGAUUUGGGGCAAGACCCUGACCCUCUCUGAGCUUCAGUUUCCUCAUCUAAAAAUCAGGGGGCUGGACUAGAUCAUCUCUAAGAAUUCUUUGAGCUCUGACUGUUUGAAAGUGUGAAUAAAUGAAGCACUCCUGUUCUUGCUCAUUCAUUAAGUCAUUCCUUACAUGUUUAUUGAACAUCCACUCUGAGCCAGGCACUGGGAGUCUGAAUUUGUUUUGUUCUCAUAACAGUCCCACAAGGUACCUAGCCAUAUACCCCAUUUUACAGCUGAGAUUAUAGAAGUUCAGAGAGGAAAUGUGAUUUGCCCAAAGUCACACAGCUAGUAAAUGACAAAGCUGGGAUUCA